rnacentral:rRNA from 1 species
GGGAGCUUGCUCCCAGAGAUUAGCGGCGGACGGGUGAGUAACACGUGGGUAACCUGCCUGUAAGACUGGGAUAACUCCGGGAAACCGGAGCUAAUACCGGAUAACAUUUUGAACCGCAUGGUUCAAAGUUGAAAGAUGGCUUCUAGCUAUCACUUACAGAUGGACCCGCGGCGCAUUAGCUAGUUGGUGAGGUAACGGCUC